rnacentral:rRNA from 1 species
UACGGAGGGGACUAGCGUUGUUCGGAAUUACUGGGCGUAAAGCGCGCGUAGGCGGAUUUGCAAGUCGGGGGUGAAAGCCCGAGGCUCAACCUCGGAACUGCCCUCGAUACUGCAAAUCUCGAGUCCGAGAGAGGUGAGUGGAAUUCCUAGUGUAGAGGUGAAAUUCGUAGAUAUUAGGAGGAACACCAGUGGCGAAGGCGACUUCCUGGCCUGUUCUUGACGCUGAGGCGCGAAAGCUAGGGUAGCAAACGGG